rnacentral:rRNA from 1 species
GAGUUUGAUCGUGGCUCAGAUUGAACGCUGGCGGCAUGCCUUACACAUGCAAGUCGAACGGCAGCACGGGAGCUUGCUCCUGGUGGCGAGUGGCGAACGGGUGAGUAAUGCAUCGGAACGUAUCCUGGAGUGGGGGAUAACGUAGCGAAAGUUACGCUAAUACCGCAUAUUCUGUGAGCAGGAAAGCGGGGGGACCUUCGGGCCUCGCGCUCUUGGAGCGGCCGAUGUCGGAUUAGCUAGUUGGUGAGGUAAAGGCUCACCAAGGCGACGAUCCGUAGCAGGUCUGAGAGGAUGAUCUGCCACACUGGAACUGAGACACGGUCCAGACUCCUACGGGAGGCAGCAGUGGGGAAUUUUGGACAAUGGGGGCAACCCUGAUCCAGCCAUGCCGCGUGAGUGAAGAAGGCCU